AACGCAACUUGCGCUCUUGGGUAUCCCUGGGAGCAUACCUCUCUGAGUAUCGUUUCAAACCAAACUCGCCUGCGUGGCGGUGAAUGGAAGUCAUAAGUAAGCCUUAUGUCUUCUUAAGUAGAUAAGCUUUCAUUAAUAGUCAACGUUCGCUGAGUUUCUCUUUACGGAGGGAUUCAACCGCGCUGAUGUAUGAUAAGAUUUCUUCUGAGCUUCGGCUUGGGACUUUUCCAAAAUCAACAUUGGCAAUGCGGAGAAUGCUGAUUGCGAGAGCUUCAAAGACAAUCUCGAGUCACUCUGUGAUUCUUGACUCUGAUCUCAGAUGAAGUAAGAUUACCCGCCGAAUUUAA
rnacentral:misc_RNA from 1 species